rnacentral:rRNA from 1 species
AAGUCGAACGAAGAUGCGUGUUUGAUCCCCUUCGGGGUGACGAUGCGCAGACUUAGUGGCGGACGGGUGAGUAAUGUAUGAGCAACCUGCCUUCAAGAGGGGAAUAACAGUCGGAAACGACUGCUAAUACCGCAUAAUAAAGCGUGAUCGCAUGAUCGUGUUUUCAAAGGAGCAAUCCGCUUGAAGAUGGGCUCAUAUCUGAUUAGAUAGUUGGUGAGGUAACGGCUCACCAAGUCUGCGAUCAGUAGCCGGACUGAGAGGUUGAACGGCCACAUUGGAACUGAGAUACGGUCCAGACUCCACGGGAGGCAGCAGUGGGGAAUAUUGGGCAAUGGGCGAAAGCCUGACCCAGCAACGCCGCGUGAAGGAAGAAGGCCCUCGGGUUGUAAACUUCUUUUACCAGGGACGAAGGACGUGACGGUACCUGGAGAAAAAGCAACGGCUAACUACGUGCCAGCAGCCGCGGUAAUACGUAGGUUGCAAGCGUUGUCCGGAUUUACUGGGUGUAAAGGGCGUGUAGGCGGAGCUGCAAGUCAGAUGUGAAAUCCUGGGGCUUAACCCCGGAACUGCAUUUGAAACUGUAGCCCUUGAGUAUCGGAGAGGCAAGCGGAAUUCCUAGUGUAGCGGUGAAAUGCGUAGAUAUUCGGAGGAACACCAGUGGCGAAGGCGGCCUGCUGGGCUUUAACUGACGCUGAGGCUCGAAAGUGUGGGGAGCAAACAGGAUUA